rnacentral:miRNA from 1 species
CAAUGAACGCAUUUGCAGGUG